ACACUCUCAGGGUCGUACUUGGAGAGGUUCCAAUAUUCUACCAGUCUCAACUACAGGAGGGAGAGUCAAGCAGAGGCAUUACCCAUUCCAUUCCUAGCUUGGUCAGUGGCUAGAGAGUGGAAGGCAAUCUGCUACCAGU